rnacentral:rRNA from 1 species
GACGAACGCUGGCGGCGUGCUUAACACAUGCAAGUCGAACGAUGAAGCCCUUCGGGGUGGAUUAGUGGCGAACGGGUGAGUAACACGUGGGCAAUCUGCCCUUCACUCUGGGACAAGCCCUGGAAACGGGGUCUAAUACCGGAUAUCACCCUCGCAGGCAUCUGCGAGGGUCGAAAGCUCCGGCGGUGAAGGAGGAGCCCGCGGCCUAGCAGCUUGGUGGUGAGGUAAUGGCUCACCAAGGCGACGACGAGUAGCCGGCCUGAGAGGGCGACCGGCCACACUGGGACUGAGACACGGCCCAGACUGCUACGGGAGGCAGCAGUGGGGAAUAUUGCACAAUGGGCGAAAGCCUGAUGCAGCGACGCCGCGUGAGGGAUGACGGCCUUCGGGUUGUAAACCUCUUUCAGCAGGGAAGAAGCGAAAGUGACGGUACCUGCAGAAGAAGCGCCGGCUAACUACGUGCCAGCAGCCGCCGUAA